UAAUGAGUUUUCUGAGUGUCUAAUGAUGAAUUUCAUAGGGCAGAUUCUGAGGUGAAAAAUCGAAUUCACCAUUGAUUCAUGUACUAUGGAGUCUGAAGACACUUGAAAACCU